UACAGAGGGUGCAAGCGUUAAUCGGAAUUACUGGGCGUAAAGCGUGCGUAGUCGGUUAUUUAAGUCGGGUGUGAAAGCCCCGGGCUCAACCUGGGAAUUGCAUUCGAUACUGGAUAGCUAGAGUUCGGCAGAGGGAAGCGGAAUUUCCGGUGUAGCGGUGAAAUGCGUAGAUAUCGGAAGGAACAUCAGUGGCGAAAGCG
rnacentral:rRNA from 1 species